rnacentral:rRNA from 1 species
UACGUAGGGGUGCAAGCGUUAAUCGGAAUUACUGGGCGUAAAGCGUGCGCAGGCGGUUUUCCAAGACAGAUGUGAAAGUCCCCCGGGCUCAACCUGGGAAUGGCAUUUGUGACUGGAAGGCUAGAGUGUGUCAGAGGGGGUAGAAUUCCACGUGUAGCAGUGAAAUGCGUAGAGAUGUGGAGGAAUACCGAUGGCGAAGGCAGCCCCCCUGGGAUAACACUGACGCUCAUGCACGAAAGCGUGGGGAGCAAACAGG